GUUUCCGUGGUGUAGUUGGUUAUCACGUCUGUCUAACACACAGACGGUCCCUGGUUCGAACCCGGGCGGAAACA